GGGUUGUGAGGUUAAGCGACUAAGCGUACACGGUGGAUGCCCUGGCAGUCAGAGGCGAUGAAGGACGUGCUAAUCUGCGAAAAGCGCCGGCGAGGUGAUAUGAACCUUUGACCCGGCGAUGUCCGAAUGGGGAAACCCAGUGCAAUUCGUUGCACUAUCGUUAACUGAAUACAUAGGUUAACGAGGCGAACCGGGGGAACUGAAACAUCUAAGUACCCCGAGGAAAAGAAAUCAACCGAGAUUCCCCCAGUAGCGGCGAGCGAACGGGGAGCAGCCCAGAGUCUGAAUCAGCUUGUGUGUUAGUGGAAGCGUCUGGAAAGUCGCACGGUACAGGGUGACAGUCCCGUACACGAAAGCACACAGGCUGUGAACUCGAAGAGUAGGGCGGGACACGUGGUAUCCUGUCUGAAUAUGGGGGGACCAUCCUCCAAGGCUAAAUACUCCUGACUGACCGAUAGUGAACCAGUACCGUGAGGGAAAGGCGAAAAGAACCCCGGCGAGGGGAGUGAAAAAGAACCUGAAACCGUGUACGUACAAGCAGUGGGAGCACCUUCGUGGUGUGACUGCGUACCUUUUGUAUAAUGGGUCAGCGACUUAUAUUCUGUAGCAAGGUUAACCGUAUAGGGGAGCCGAAGGGAAACCGAGUCUUAACUGGGCGUUAAGUUGCAGGGUAUAGACCCGAAACCCGGUGAUCUAGCCAUGGGCAGGUUGAAGGUUGGGUAACACUAACUGGAGGACCGAACCGACUAAUGUUGAAAAAUUAGCGGAUGACUUGUGGCUGGGGGUGAAAGGCCAAUCAAACCGGGAGAUAGCUGGUUCUCCCCGAAAGCUAUUUAGGUAGCGCCUCGUGAAUUCAUCUUCGGGGGUAGAGCACUGUUUCGGCUAGGGGGCCAUCCCGGCUUACCAACCCGAUGCAAACUACGAAUACCGAAGAAUGUUAUCACGGGAGACACACGGCGGGUGCUAACGUCCGUCGUGAAGAGGGAAACAACCCAGACCGCCAGCUAAGGUCCCAAAGUCAUGGUUAAGUGGGAAACGAUGUGGGAAGGCACAGACAGCCAGGAUGUUGGCUUAGAAGCAGCCAUCAUUUAAAGAAAGCGUAAUAGCUCACUGGUCGAGUCGGCCUGCGCGGAAGAUGUAACGGGGCUAAACCAUGCACCGAAGCUGCGGCAGCGACGCUUAUGCGUUGUUGGGUAGGGGAGCGUUCUGUAAGCCGUUGAAGGUGGCCUGUGAGGGUUGCUGGAGGUAUCAGAAGUGCGAAUGCUGACAUAAGUAACGAUAAAGCGGGUGAAAAGCCCGCUCGCCGGAAGACCAAGGGUUCCUGUCCAACGUUAAUCGGGGCAGGGUGAGUCGACCCCUAAGGCGAGGCCGAAAGGCGUAGUCGAUGGGAAACAGGUUAAUAUUCCUGUACUUGGUGUUACUGCGAAGGGGGGACGGAGAAGGCUAUGUUAGCCGGGCGACGGUUGUCCCGGUUUAAGCAUGUAGGCGGAGGUUCCAGGUAAAUCCGGUACCUUAUUAACGCUGAGGUGUGAUGACGAGGCACUACGGUGCUGAAGUAACAAAUGCCCUGCUUCCAGGAAAAGCCUCUAAGCAUCAGGUAACAUCAAAUCGUACCCCAAACCGACACAGGUGGUCAGGUAGAGAAUACCAAGGCGCUUGAGAGAACUCGGGUGAAGGAACUAGGCAAAAUGGUGCCGUAACUUCGGGAGAAGGCACGCUGAUAUGUAGGUGAAGCCCCUGCGGGUGGAGCUGAAAUCAGUCGAAGAUACCAGCUGGCUGCAACUGUUUAUUAAAAACACAGCACUGUGCAAACACGAAAGUGGACGUAUACGGUGUGACGCCUGCCCGGUGCCGGAAGGUUAAUUGAUGGGGUUAGCGGCAACGCGAAGCUCUUGAUCGAAGCCCCGGUAAACGGCGGCCGUAACUAUAACGGUCCUAAGGUAGCGAAAUUCCUUGUCGGGUAAGUUCCGACCUGCACGAAUGGCGUAAUGAUGGCCAGGCUGUCUCCACCCGAGACUCAGUGAAAUUGAACUCGCUGUGAAGAUGCAGUGUACCCGCGGCAAGACGGAAAGACCCCGUGAACCUUUACUAUAGCUUGACACUGAACACUGGUCCUUGAUGUGUAGGAUAGGUGGGAGGCUUUGAAGCGUGGACGCCAGUCUGCGUGGAGCCGUCCUUGAAAUACCACCCUUUAAUGGCUGGUGUUCUAACGUAGACCCGUGAUCCGGGUUGCGGACAGUGUCUGGUGGGUAGUUUGACUGGGGCGGUCUCCUCCCAAAGAGUAACGGAGGAGCACGAAGGUUAGCUAAUCCUGGUCGGACAUCAGGAGGUUAGUGCAAUGGCAUAAGCUAGCUUGACUGCGAGAGUGACGGCUCGAGCAGGUGCGAAAGCAGGUCAUAGUGAUCCGGUGGUUCUGAAUGGAAGGGCCAUCGCUCAACGGAUAAAAGGUACUCCGGGGAUAACAGGCUGAUACCGCCCAAGAGUUCAUAUCGACGGCGGUGUUUGGCACCUCGAUGUCGGCUCAUCACAUCCUGGGGCUGAAGUAGGUCCCAAGGGUAUGGCUGUUCGCCAUUUAAAGUGGUACGCGAGCUGGGUUUAGAACGUCGUGAGACAGUUCGGUCCCUAUCUGCCGUGGGCGCUGGAGAAUUGAGGGGGGCUGCUCCUAGUACGAGAGGACCGGAGUGGACGCAUCACUGGUGUUCGGGUUGUCAUGCCAAUGGCACUGCCCGGUAGCUAAAUGCGGAAAAGAUAAGUGCUGAAAGCAUCUAAGCACGAAACUUGCCCCGAGAUGAGUUCUCCCUGACUCCCUGAGAGUCCUGAAGGAACGUUGAAGACGACGACGUUGAUAGGUCGGGUGUGUAAGCGCAGCGAUGCGUUGAGCUAACCGAUACUAAUGAACCGUGAGGCUUAACCUUACAACGCCGAAGGUGUUU
rnacentral:rRNA from 1 species